GAAAUGCGAUAAGUAAUGUGAAUUGCAGAAUUCAGUGAAUCAUCGAAUCUUUGAACGCACAUUGCGCCCGCCAGCACUCUGGCGGGCAUGCCUGUUCGAGCGUCAUUUCAACCCUCAGAACCCCUUGCGGGAUCUGGCGUUGGGGAUUGGCAUCCAGUCAGCCCCGAAAUCUAGUGGCGGUCCCUCCGCGACCUCCCCUGUGCAGUAGCGAUACCUCGCAGCGGGACAGUGGUCUGACCACGCCGUAAAACCCCCAACUUCUCAAGGUUGACCUCGAAUCAGGUAGGAAUACCCGCUGAACUUAAGC
rnacentral:misc_RNA from 1 species